rnacentral:piRNA from 1 species
GACAAGUUCAGAAGUUCAGAGUCCUCCUUGU